UUUAGGGUUUUACUCAUAUGACGCAUCAGCUUCCUUGAAGACUCAUCUUCCUCACUCUCCUUCAACAGCGGCGACGGCGAGUUCUCUCCGGCGAGAUUCCAAGGCGCCAUUCGUGGAUGACACUACGAAUCAACGACGUCUCCUCUCAUCAUCACUUCCUUCGCUUUGCUCACUUUCAUCUUCUUCGUGAAUUCGCGACGGCGGCGGAGUCUCCUCCCUCUCCGGCAACGCUUCCGUGAACCAACCAACACAACUGCCUCUCUCCUGCCUCUCCGACUUCGUCUCUUAUCUCAUCUCUCCGAUUCAAGUUUCAUUCUCCGAUCAGACUCUCUCUCAGAUUUGUUUCGAUUUCACAUUGAUUGGUAAACACAUUCAAUCAUGAGGUUACAGUGAUGAAGAUGAAGAACGGUGUGAGGCACUCUUGAAGCUCGUUGAAGAAUUUGAAGAUUGGAGGGGUGAGUUUGAAAGUGUGGUGAUGAAUAUUGUGUGAAGAAAGGAUGAAGGUCGGAGAGGAAGGUUAUGGUGAUGAAGUGAAGAGAGUGAUGAUGAAUGAAUGGUGGAGGAAGAUUAUGGAGAGUCGUUGGUGAGAAAGAUGAAGAUUCUUUGAUGAAUUUCUGAGUUUUUUCUGUGAAUUGAAGAGUGAAAGAGAGAUAUUGAAGAUUGUUGAUUGAUGAAGAUUGGAGAAGAAAUGUGGAUGAAGAUGGAAGUGAUGAUGAAUGAAGAAUAUGAAGUGGUGGAGAAUGAAUCGAGAGAUCAAAAAAAUGGUGAAGAUAGUCCAGAUCCAGCAAGUGAUGGAGCUGCUGAUUUAUAUAGAUUCCAAGGAUGAGACUUCAGUGCAGGGACUGUUGUGGUUGAAUUAUUCUGAAUGUGGUUGGUUUAAUGUGCAGAGCUCGAAUUAGCUUGAGGGUGAGGUCUGAACCGGUUCAAGCUUGUUUUUGUUGGCGGAUUGGUGUUAAACAGGGGUCCGGUUCGGUUCUGAUGCCGUAAGAGGUAUGAUAUAAAUCAUAUGGCAUAUUGUUGUAUCAAAAACACUCCUAAGAAGACCAUGGAACAACAACAUGAAACAUGAAGAUUGGCUUGGAAGCAUGUCUAGGGUGGUGUUGACUGCAGGUCUGAGUAUGACUUUGACAAGUCGGUACGGAGCAUGAUUGAUCCUGGAUCUGUUAGAAUUUACGGUUCAGCUGCGGUUCGGUUUUGUUGAAGCGAGGGUUGCAAGUUUGAUUGUAUGUUGGCUUGAAGAACUGUUGAAGAAGCUAUGAAGACAGAUGCUGAAGCUUUUUAGGAAUAGGCUUCUUCUUUUGUAACUUCAAAAUUUUUUUAAUCAUUUUUCCUUGUAAUGGCUCCCUUUUUCUUAUAAUGACCUUGAUUUGGAACUUUGAAUUGAAUUUAUCUUGUAAUGAAGUUCUUUUUCUUUCAAAUGAAUGUAACUAUUAUUCUCUUCA